AAACUGACAUUGCUCCGGGAACACCCAAUUGUCUUAAUGUCCAUGCUUUGCUAGAGGAAAAACAAGUGGUUAACUGAUAGAGAUCACAGUCAUGCAGGCCAUAGUCUCUAUCAGUUUACAACUGUCUUAAUGAUUUACAAGGAAAACAGCAACUUUGUCAAUAGCCAAACUUCCAGAAACCUAUAGACUCAGUUUCCUGGGACGCUGACGUCACUCUUCACAACCCAAGUGCAGCUCUUUCUGCCCACAGGUCCCGUCCCUGUGCUUUAAUAAAGCCACCUUUCGCACCAAAGACAUCUCAAGAAGUCUUUCUUGGCUGUCAACUCUGGACCCCAACACUUCAAACCACAUUAUUUGGCAACUACAAAGGGACUCAGUCUUCUCAUCUGGACUCUGGGCCUCGGUGCAAACUUGCUCUCUCCACUUGGUGCCCAGACUCCUUCACUGCCAUAAUUUCAAGUUGACAGAUGAUCCUUUCCACUUAGGAAGCCCCAUACAUGUGUCUUCCUUGAUUCAGCUGCUUCUGCCUUUUGUAACUCCUACAUAUAUAAACCUCCAACUGACCAAUGUUGACCCAAAGUUCACAAGCCAAGAAGGAAAGAGACACACUAAAACAGAUGGGACUUGGAGGUGAACCCAAUAAAGCAAGUUGCUGUGGUUGCUCUGCCCUAUGGAAGGCCUCCCAGAGCAAGCAGGGCCAACCAGGAACUGAACCCUGCCAACAUCAGUGAGCUUAGAAUCUGAUGCUCUCCUGGUCGAGCCUCGAGAUGAAAGCAGCCCUGGCCAUCACCUUGACUGCAUCCUGGUGAAAGGCCUUGAGCCAGGGCACCCAGCAAAACCACUUUUGGAUUCUUGAUCCACAGAAACUGUGAGAUAAAAAUGCCUGUUAUUUGUCAUUUGUUAUUUUAGCCACUGUUUUGUGGUAACUUCUUACAUAUUAGUAGAUAACAAGUACAUCAAGGACUACCAUAUCUACUGCCGGCAACACCCUGAUGUCAUAAUUUCAAUGUUACUAAAAUGGCCUGUAGGGUAGAUGUCAGUAAACCAGUAGUAUUUCAUAAUAAGAGUAACAUAUUUCCAGCAAAACCGUACUUACUAAGA